GUCGAGCAUGACCUUUAUAUCCAGGGCUUACACACACGGCUACAAUGGUCAGUACAAUGGGUUGCCAAGCGCGAGGCGGAGCCAAUCCUAAAAAGCUGGACCUCAGUUCAGAUUGCAGUCUGAAACUCGACUGCAUGAAGUCGGAGUUGCUAGUAAACGCAGGGUCAGCUAUACUGCGUUGAAUACGUUCCCGGGGCCGUU
rnacentral:rRNA from 1 species